rnacentral:misc_RNA from 1 species
GAAAUGCGAUAAGUAGUGUGAAUUGCAGAAUUCAGUGAAUCAUCGAAUCUUUGAACGCACAUUGCGCCCCUUGGUAUUCCAUGGGGCAUGCCUGUUCGAGCGUCAUUUGUACCUUCAAGCUUUGCUUGGUGUUGGGUGUUUGUCUCGCCUCUGCGUGUAGACUCGCCUCAAAGCAAUUGGCAGCCGGCGUAUUGAUUUCGGAGCGCAGUACAUCUCGCGCUUUGCACUCAUAACGACGACGUCCAAAAGUACAUUUUUACACUCUUGACCUCGGAUCAGGUAGGGAUACCCGCUGAACUUAAGC